rnacentral:rRNA from 1 species
AGCGAACGCUGGCGGCAGGCUUAACACAUGCAAGUCGAGCGGGCACUUCGGUGUCAGCGGCAGACGGGUGAGUAACACGUGGGAACGUACCCUUUGGUUCGGAAUAACGCUGGGAAACUAGCGCUAAUACCGGAUACGCCCUUUUGGGGAAAGGCUUGCUGCCGAAGGAUCGGCCCGCGUCUGAUUAGCUAGUUGGUGGGGUAAUGGCCUACCAAGGCGACGAUCAGUAGCUGGUCUGAGAGGAUGAUCAGCCACACUGGGACUACGACACGGACCAGACUCCUACGGGAGGCAGCAGUGGGGAAUAUUGGACAAUGGGCGCAAGCCUGAUCCAGCCAUGCCGCGUGAGUGAUGAAGGCCUUAGGGUUGUAAAGCUCUUUUGUCCGGGACGAUAAUGACGGUACCGGAAGAAUAAGCCCCGGCUAACUUCGUG